ACUGCAAUAUGUUAUAUAUUUCAUACAGCAGAUAUUUACUAAUAAUCGAGAUGAUCCGAUUGCUACUCUUUUUAAGAAAAAAAAAAGUUUCAUUGUCAAAUUCAUCUUUGAAGGAAACUGUUGCGUUAAUUCCUAACUGUACCAUUUUUUACUAGAUUAUAAAUACAAUGGGUUUUACUCUUUUAAGCUGCAGCUUCAGUUAGAAAUGUUGGCAAGGUAACAAUUGCCGGUUCUUCCUAAGCAAUGUAUUCACUCACUAGAUUUCAAAAAUUAACCUAACUUUACUUUUCAGUUGGAAAGAUUGUGCCUCUUCCUGUUCCAGAUCUACUAAAUUGAAUGACUGAAAAGAGAAUUUGCAAUUGUUUUAGGAUAAGAAUAGUUUUGGACAGGGGUGUAUUGAAGAAGCUCAACCUGGCAUUUUUGUGAAGAAAGAUGAUAAAAUGGAGCACCUAACAAUGCAUUUUCACAGACCAAGAACUACGAGAUCGAGGGUCAGUUAUUCAGGGAUUUCACAAAGACCUUGGUAGAUGCAUGUCUCCAUCCAUGUUUGGUAGAGGUAUUCAGGUUUAUUUCAUCAUAUUCCCUCUUUAAGACGGAAAGAUGCUUUAAUUGCGUGCAAAUGAUCUCACAUGUAUAAUGGUAUACAUAUUUUUGGGAGGUAUGACUUAUUGAUGAGUGAGAUGGUACUCUAUGAUGAUUUUAACACGAUUUUAUGUUCAACCAGUGUGAUGAUUAGCGUAGAUCUUUCACCUUAUUUUGCAAUGUGUGCAUUUGUAGUGCGGGUUGUGGACUAUGGGAGCGAGGAGACAAAAAUUUACAUUGGAUAAGAUAACGCUAAUUGGUGGCAUGGCUCGAGACUUCAAAUGAAAAUGAAAACGGACUGAUUAACCUCCGAUUGAACUUCAAAAUACUACAAACAGAGAAAGGGAGGGAAGUAACAUAAUUAUAAGAGAAUAAAUUAAUAGUGCUUCAGUGAAAACACCCUUUAACAAAUUUAACUUUCUUGGCUUCAUAUACUUAAAAAGGCAUAUUAUUUGUGUCUUACGAUCAUGUUUCUUUCACCUAAUAAGUUAAGUGAACACAUUGUUCCAAUAGGUUGAAGUUGCAAAUCCAUAUAAACAUAUGGUUUAAAAUCUGAAAUGUGAAGUAUUAUCAUUCAGUAUAUAUUUAUCUUAUAUUACUUAGUACUAAUAUUGCAUAUUCUGGGUAUGUUGUUGUUGUUGCAACGUGUUUCCAGAAAGAGUCCCUACCAAUUCAAGAUGACAACAUGUUUAGAAUCCAACUGAAAACAUCGUCUGCAUGCAAUUCUCUAAUACCAUCAGAAAAAUUAUUUUUCUGUCAUGUGUGAAAAAGAAAACACGCUUCGUUCUCUCCUGAUUCCAAACAUCAAUAGUGGUUCCAUGAUCAGACGAACUCCCUCUUUGUUCAAGCGAAGAGUUAGGUUGGUGAGAUGGGGUUGUACAUAAUGACAUUAGAAUAAAUGAUUCUGCUCAUUUAUCCAUGGAACAUUUGCAGGUAAAAGAAGACUCAACAACUGGCUUCUUUAUGACUUCUACAUGCAUGCUUCAGUGUGCACUACAUGGAAGAUGGAACAAAAUUAAAGCAUAGUGACAACUACUACGGGCUCACUUAUGUCAGCAAAUUAGAUGGACCAUAUGAUGCCAAACAAAUAAUGUAGAAUGUUGCAAAUUCAUCCCUUGGCUAUGCUCUAUAAUGGCGGGCUCCAAUAUUUUUGUCAAACUGGAAAAGAAGGCUGAUGACUGCAAAGCUUUGAUAGUCGAAUUUCAAAAGGGUGCUUCCCUUUUUAUCUUGCAAAUGAGGUUUUUCAUGAAAGCUGAAGAAUGUAUAAUUUUGCAACUACUCAAUAUUACAGUUGAUAUUUCAUAAUCUAUUGGAUAUAGAGUCGAGUUUUGUUCCUCAUUCAUGUAGAUACUGUGAAGUAUUAAAUCAUGAAAUGAUCUCGAUAUUGAAAAUUUUCAGCAAUA